CCUACGGGUGGCAGCAGUCGAGAAUCAUUCACAAUGGGGGAAACCCUGAUGGUGCGACGCCGCGUGGGGGAAUGAAGGUCUUCGGAUUGUAAACCCCUGUCAUGUGGGAGCAAAUUAAAAAGAUAGUACCACAAGAGGAAGAGACGGCUAACUCUGUGCCAGCAGCCGCGGUAAUACAGAGGUCUCAAGCGUUGUUCGGAAUCACUGGGCGUAAAGCGUGCGUAGGCUGUUUCGUAAGUCGUGUGUGAAAGGGGCGGGCUCAACCCGCGGACGGCACAUGAUACUGCGAGACUAGAGUAAUGGAGGGGGAACCGGAAUUCUCGGUGUAGCAGUGAAAUGCGUAGAGAUCGAGAGGAACACUCGUGGCGAAGGCGGGUUCCUGGACAUUAACUGACGCUGAGGCACGAAGGCCAGGGGAGCGAAAGGGAUUAGAUACCCGGGUAGUC
rnacentral:rRNA from 1 species